rnacentral:rRNA from 1 species
GUUUAUCGGCAUGCCACCCUGAACAAGCCCGAUCCCAUCUGAUCUCAGAAGCUAAGCAGGGUCGGGCCUGGUGAGUACUUGGAUGGGAGACCACCUAGGAAGACCAGGUGCUAUAGGCA